rnacentral:lncRNA from 1 species
UUUCACAAUCUCUCGUGUGAAUUUUGGAUCCUCUUUUCUUUUUCUUUCGAAUAUCUCGUUGAUCUCAGGCUUUUUCGUGCAGAUUUCGGAUCCUCUCUAUCUAUUUUUUUGAUCUCACGUUUGAUCUCUAUUUAAUCUGCAAUUUCUUUCACCAUUUUAAGUAUUUUACAGCAUUAGAAGCAAGAGAAAAUAAUUUAGG